UGAUUAUACAAUGAUGGUUAUUAUAUUGUAAAGGAAAUUCAUUCUCAUAAUUUGAAAUGUCUCUUAAAAUAUUUGCAUUUGACUGUGAAGUGAUUUAGAGAAAUUCCCUGAUAUUUAAUAUUCUAUUUCUUUUUUAUUCUCAAGUUCAGAAAGAAGUUUCCUAUUAUACCAAAUGCAUAGCCAUGCAGGAAAGGAGAGACUUGUCGCUAGAAAGCGACAGUACACCAUUGAAUCUUUGGGACGAGAAUCCUCAUAAGAAUAGGACCAAUGAAUGGCACUGACAUGAAGCUGAAAGAAGUUUUCUCAUUUGAAAAAUGGAAAAAAGCUCCUCCUUUAUCAGGAAGCCCAUCAGCCAGCAGCAUGAAUUCGAGCCACAUGUGCAUACAAUAUGGUGAAUGCCACAGUCUGUUGCUAGGUAGGUUGAAUUCAAGCUUUCUGCCUACAUACACCACUUGCAGUUCGUCCAAGUCUGUAGCACCAUUUCUGGAACCCUGGAAACUAGAUAUGGUGAACAGUUUACCUGCAAUGUCUGUGUUUUGCACACGAGAUGACUAGCUUAUUGUUUUCACAUAUAAGAAAUAAGUGGAAGCAGCACAUUGAAUGGUCUAUAAAUAAAUAGUACAUUAAGCACCAUUUUGCCAAGUACUGUGCAGACUUUUUAGUCUAAUAUGGAAAUAGAUCCUGUCACAGGUUUUUUGUUAUGAAUGCAAAUUUAAGGCAUAGUUAUAUUCAUGGUAAAAACAAGAUGAUUAGAACAAGAAUUCAUGCCUACUAUUUCAUUUUUGCCACUAAGCUGCCUCUGUUGCCUUUGUUAAAUGAAUGAGAGUUUUCUUUGGUGAAAAGGAAUGAAAUUCACAAGGUCUUUGGUCAAUUUCCUUGAGAAAAAUGAUCAGAUCUAUAGGAAUACAUUACAGGUGUUGUUCUCACAGAUUGGCAACCUCCAUGAUAAUCUACCUCCAUGAUAAUCUGCAGUAGUGACUCAGUGGCCUCAGAUCAGUGUCUAAACUUUUCAGAAUAUUAAAAACUUUCCUAUGAAAUGCUGCAAUGGGAAGGAGUUCAAAAGAUCAUAAAUGCAGACAGUAAAUUAUAACCAUAAAUGCUUCCUUGAAAUUUUUCUUUGUAUCUUGGGGAAUUACAACAGAGUCUGAAAUAAUCCAUUAAAGUGAUUUAAGACCUGUGACAAACUUUUUUUCCAAAUAAUUAUUUAAGGAACUUAUAUUAUUAAUCCUGAGAAUGCUGAUAAGCAUUGAGAAGAUCUCUCAUAAGCAUGUGGAAAAUGUGUGUUCUGUCACUAUUUAAAAGACAGCGUUUAUAUUUAGAACUGCUUCCUUAGCAUUAUUUAAUGCUCCAGCUAUAGGCAAUAUUCAUAUAUACAGAGAGAUAUUAGCAUCAGUGUGUGUGUGUUCCUAUGAUUUCUCAAUGGUUUACUUAGAAAAGCUCCAAAAUGUAUCAUUACAAGCUACUGAAAAAAAUUCAUAAUAAUUUUGACUAAGAAAAAUAGAAGUAAAAUGUUCAAGAACAAUAAUGAUUUCUACAUAAAGCAAAUGCUUUUGAAAUAAUGUGAAGAGACUUUUGAAACAAUGUGGGUUGCACAGUUUUAUUUGAAGGAUUGUGAAGUGUGUCAUUGCUGAUUGUAUCAGUCUGUGAUUUGGCUGAUCUGGAAAUCGGCCACUAGUUAUUCUCUUAAAAGCAGAAAUAGUAAAUUAAUAUUUUUGGAGAAAAACAGAAAAAGAAACAUAAAGCAGACAGAAGAAAUAGUAUAAUUAUUCCAUUAGUGAUUUUUUUUCUUUCACCCACAAAGCUCUUCUUCAUUUUAUGUUUUUUGCCGAUAUGAAUUACGAUAGAUAGAGAAAAUUUAUGAGUGAAGAAUGACUCUGAUAAAUAGUGAGAGCCCAAGGAAAUCAAGCUGAGUCCCCAUUAAUCAUGUCUGCCAGUGUGAGUAGCAAUUGUCAAGAGCCCUCAUAGACCAAGCAACCAUUCAAACCUGCUGAAAACUGGGGACACAUACAUAAUAAAACCUUUUUUAACAUAAAGUUUUUUUAAAAAACAAGUUGAAUUGGAGCUUCCUAUAUAUAUGUGUGUAUAUAGGAGCUUCCUAUCUACACACAUAUAUACUUCCUAUAUAUACACAUAUACACUUCCUAUAUAUACACACAUAUAUACACACA
ensembl:lncRNA